ACGGAAGGCAGCAGUGGGGAAUAUUGCACAAUGGGCGCAAGCCUGAUGCAGCGAUGCCGCGUGAGGGAAGAAGGUUUUCGGAUUGUAAACCUCUGUCAGCAGGGACGAAGAAGACGGUACCUGUGAAGGAAGCUCCGGCUAACUACGUGCCAGCAGCCGCGGUAAUACGUAGGGAGCAAGCGUUAUCCGGAAUUACUGGGUGUAAAGGGUGUGUAGGCGGGAUUGCAAGUCGGAUGUGAAAACUAUGGGCUUAACUCAUAGCCUGCAUUUGAAACUGUAGUUCUUGAGGGUCGGAGGGGUUACUGGAAUUCCCGGUGUAGCGGUGAAGUGCGUAGAUAUCGGGAGGAACACCGGUGGCGAAGGCGAGUAACUGGACGAUACCUGACGCUGAGACACGAAAGUGUGGGGAGCAAACAGGAUUAGAUACCCUGGUA
rnacentral:rRNA from 1 species